CCCUUANGUCCAGGGCUUCACGCAUGCUACAAUGGCUGGUACAGAGAGUGGCGAGCCUGUGAGGGUGAGCGAAUCUCGGAAAGCCGGUCUCACUUCGGAUUGGGGUCUGCAACUCGACCUCAUGAAGUCGGAGUCGCUAGUAAUCGCAGAUCAGCAACGCUGCGGUGAAUACGUUCCCGGGGCUUGYACACACCGCCCGUC
rnacentral:rRNA from 1 species